AGCCUUUCUAAAAGCAAGGCUACAACCCUUCAAUGGCUCUCUACUGCCCAUAAACAUAAAAUCUAGGCUCUUUGGCAUGGCCUCCUGGCUCUGCUCAUCCUUUCUCUACCCACUUCUGACCACACCCUGAUGCCUGACACAUCCCAUUAUACUUGAGCCAGGGCCUUGACCUCUGCUCAGCUGCACUGAAGAUCCCUGCUCUCUUUUCCCUCUAGGCCUCUGCAUGUGUUCCUGUGUGUCUAGAAGCCCAGCCCUCCCUCAGAUUGCCUGGCUAACUUAUCUUUCACAGCCCAAUGUAGAUUCUUCUUCCUCAUGGAAAUUUCCUAGCCCCACAGUAUGAGUUAGGAGCCCCUUCAGUGCAUUCUCAUGUCACCAGCUUCUUUUAUCAUGGAACUUCUCAUGGUCUUAUUUUAACUACCUUUUUGCUUGCUGUCUUCUUUAUUCCUUUUGUCUCUCCAGUGCCUAACAUAACACCCAGACCUGAGUUAGCGCUCACUGAAUGGUGAAUGUGGCUCAGUAUAAGGGAGCUGCCACUUACCUAAUGCCUUCUGCAUGGCUGUACCCUGCCUGAUGCUUUAAAUACAUGAUCUCUUAUCCACACAACUCUGCCAACUCCGUAUUAUUUUGGACAUUCUACAGAUGAAGGUCAGUGGGAUUAAACAGCUUUCUCUAAGUCACACAUCACAUAAGUGAAUUGGAAAUGAGGUCUGUGUAGCUUCAAAAUUUCUGUUUAUCUCACAGCAACACAGCCUCUCCCUGUGGCCCCUGCACAAUGACCAGAGUUCUAUGCAUCAGACCUCCCAGAGUAAUUCUAAUCCAUCUUCCACCCAACAGUCUUUCAAAAAUGAAGACUUUCCAGAAGCCAGUAGUUGGCCCGACCCUUUCUACCCGUGCUGCGCUUGAAUGUUCUUCUCCAUGAUGCCUAAAAAGCCCUUCCCACAGUGGCUCCUCAAGGCCUGCUUCUCUUCACUGUGGUCACACAGAGCCUAAGAGAUAGCAUCACCAUGCUUUAAAGCCCCUCCCCCAUGACAGUUUCCUCAAGCUGCCAAGACCACGAAUCCCCAGGACAAAGGGGCAGAUCACCCCGCUGUUGUCUAGAAGCAUCAGGAAGAAAGGCCAGCAUAAACUGCUCUGUACAGGGAACACUGAACUCAAGGCCAAUCUGGUAGCUGGAAUCAUGGGCUGCUGUCCUGUGGCCCUUGUCUGUCUCAGGAGAGUAUGAGUCAGGAAGUAUCACAGGAAAACCUACACAGCAAGUAGGCAGUGUCUUCCCAUCAGAAGGCCACCCAGUAACUUCUCCCUGCCCUUCUGGGAGGCUUCCCUUUAGAAAGGAGACCUGCCAUGGCCCUGAAGCUCCACUGGAUAAGGAAGCCACUCCAGCAUCUACCGCAGAAACAUCUGCAUUCUUGGAAGUAAACUCAGCCAUCCAGAAAAAGCCACUCUCUCUGGAACUAACAAAUCCGGGCUUAGAGCUGACAUAGCCUGCAUUUGAAAAGUCUCCAGCUUUUAAUCAUGUAAGAGUUAAGAUACAGUUUGAAUAUAGCAAGUAUUCCCAAUCUACAAAACUAGGGAUGGGACUGUAAGAGGACAAAACAUUUGAAUUGGUUGAAAAGUUUCUGAAAAAUUCAAACCCAGAUUUCCACAGGCUUUAAUAGCUAUCUUGGGAAUUGUAAGGGAUGCUCUCAAACCAGGCAUAAGUAGACAAAAUGUAAGUUGUUUUGCCUUUUACAUUUCUGAAAAGACCUUCAUUUUUCUAAGGACAUCGAAGCUGCAAUGCCACAUAAUUCCCUUUAUGUAUAGAUGAUUGGCAAACAGCCCCUAACUCCAUUUGUACUGCUAUUAGAAUAGUAACAUGUAAAACACUAUGAAUAUCUGAUUCCAAUGACCGUGCAGCCCAAUUCAAUCGUAGUUUCACCAAAUAAUAGCAAGAUCUACAGUACUCAAGCUGUUGAAUUUAUGAAUUAAAUUCAACUUCUCCAUAAUCUGAGCAGGACUUGGCAGAAAGAAAUGGUCAGGACUAGGAGCAGCUUGCCUCCCCUCCAAAGAUCAUGACAACACUGCCAAAGUCACCAGAGGGCUGAAUCUGAAAGGAUACAUUAGAUAAAAAUGUAAAAGAAGCCAAGAAGAUAGAAGUAACAGCCAGGACCCCUGCGGCAGUCUGUUGUGCCACAUCAAAAUGGUGAGUGGACUCUACUUUCGAAAAUCCUAUUAAGAACCAAAUUACACUGAUGCUAAAAGUCAGCAAAGCCAGUAGCAUUACUCUCACCUGUAUCUUAAACAAAAGCCAUUAUGCCAAUGGGGAACAAAAAACACUAGAAGCUAUUGUAUUUUACAAUCAAUCUUUGUUAUUCACAAACUUUGCAUUUGCAAACUUACCUACCUGCUAAAAUUUACUUGUGACACCCAAGUUAAUACUCCCAGCACUUUACAGUUAUUUGCUGAUAUGCAGAGCAGCCAACACUUUGAGUUGCUGAUGAGCAUGAACUCAGCUGAAGUCCAGCAAGGUGAUGCUCUCUGCCUUCUCGUUUCAGCUCUCAUACUGUUAAAAGGUGUACUUUUUGUAGGCUAUUUAGUGGUACAUAUAUUUUUUGAGCUUUUUUUGCCCCUUUUUUUUUGCAGGGAUGAUUACACUGUUUAAAAUGGCCCCCAAGUGUGCUGAGACACUGUCCAGUGUUCCUGAGCAUAAGAAGGCUGUGAUGUGCUUUGUGGACAAAAUAAUUGUCUUAGAUAAACUUCCUUCAGGCAUGAGUUAUAGCUGUUGGCUAUGGGUUCAAUGGUAAUGAAUCAACACCAUAUAUUACAUAAGGUGUUUUUAACCAGAAACACACAGAAAUUAAGGCUUUGUGUUGACAGGUUGACCAAAUUGUGACCUGAGGCUCACGGGAACUUAGCCCUGUAUUUUACCUAGGAAAUUUAGGUAAAAUUUUUUCACCAAAAAAUUCAGUGCUAAUUCAGUGUUUGCAAGAACUUUAUAGAACAUCACUACAGCAAAUAAGAAGAACUGUCCAUUUUCAAACUACAGAAAAAUGCCAUAAAUAUAUAGGAGUUGAAGGGGUUGGGAUAGUGAACUGGAUGUGAGAGGUUCUGCUAUGUCAUUGGCCUCAAGUACUCAAAAGAAAGAACUUAAAAACUAUGAAAUGAAAGUUGCAAGGGUAUAUUUUGCUUCAAAGAAGACUGUUCAUGCCUAGUAUGGACUCUGUAAAAUAUCUCUAGAGAAAGGAGAAUGAAGGAAAGAGUAAUACUUAAUUUGAUCAUUAUUUUUCAAGUGUUCUUCCCUGUUCACAUUUGCAAAAGUUAAUAAGAAUUUGAUCUCUUGAUAGUAACCAUGGAGAACUUUAUCAGUCUCUAAACAUAAUUAAUUCUCUCUCUCCCCUUAGUUGGACAAAGUAAAGACACAUCUCACAUAGAAAAUGCCAGCUUUUCUUGCUUAUAUAUUUAGUAUAGCUAAAAGAACUCAUAGAAAAUGAAUUAGUUUUGACAUCUGUAAUAGUGUCAACA